AGGAAGAGCUGCACGGGGAAGCAAAAACCCCGGCGAGGGCCAGCAGGUGCAGUGAAACCGCCCCCUUACUGCGCUCGUAGCCUAACUGCCGUAGCAUGCACCGUCCUAGCUCCUCCACUCCCCUAAGCCUGGCACAAUAGUUAACCAGCUCCGCGCUGGAGUCCAGCCUUCUGCCUUUGCUAUUAAAACAAAUCUAAAAAUAUCCCCACGCGUAUUCUGCCACCAUUUAGCAGACAACACUGUUAGAAAAACAGUAGGUGAUCGCUGACUGGAUGAGAGGCGCAGGAGCAUGUAACAGUCAGGCAGACCAACGUGUAAAGAUAUAGCCUUUGGAUUUGAUAAUGCCUCUGCUUUUAACAAUGACUGAAUACCGGAGAAGCCACAAUGGAGUCCAUUCCUGUGCUCGAAUGCUCUGGAUACUUUCCUGAAGAGCUUCUUGAAAACUUGAUUCACAAAGAAGUUCUAAAAUUAAAAAGAUUGCACUUGGCACUUCAGAAGAUACUGUGGUUGCAGCCAGCAAUUACGCUGAUGUGUGUGAAUACUGAGGGCUUCGUCCCUGAUGAAAGAUUGGUGGUCCUGGGCAUCCUGGGGCAUCCUGCUGAUCUUGAAGUCUUAUGCAGUUUGUUGGCACAGGCACUUUAAAAACAUAUAUAGUCAGUUCACGUGGUACUAUUUAACAAAUCAGCAUGGGUUUUGCUUUGUUUGUAAUGUGUCCUUUAUUUCACAAUAUCAUAAUCCUGGGUGCUAGCUCCUGGUAGCAGGGAUGUAAACACCCUCCUUUUCAGUAGUGUAGAUACUGAUUUGGUAGCAUUGGUUUAAACAGGCUGCUAAAUUCUAGUUCUAUGAUGUUUGGAAUUUCUGUUACCAGCCUUCUACUUAUCAAUGAUGAGAGAGCACUGGUGGAGCUGUUCAUUUUCACUCUUCCCAGGCCAGACUGCCUCAAGAACUUACCCUAUUACAGAGUUAAUAAGUUUGAAGCUUCUUGCCCAAAAAUCUGUAUGUUUUCUGCCAUUCACAAAUUCUUGAAUUAUGAAAAUUUAUUUCAAAAAGCAGAAGAUGCCCAGGAGCCAAAGCAUAGAUCAAAUGUAGCGCAAGCAGCUAUAAUUUUUCAACUCAGUCUCUGAAGAAGAUAGGAGACUGCUUAAAUGGUGGUGGAAACUGUCCCCUUUUCUCCCCCCUCCUCCACACAGUGAGCUUGCUACCACCUCUGCAUAAUAUCCACCCCGCAUCUACAUGAAAGCCAAAGCAACAAAAGAGCUGAAGAUUUGGAUUUUACAGUUUGCAUAAGCAAUGAAACGCCAGUUCAUGUGGAGAAGGUGAAACAUGCUGAAACUGACCAGCAGCGGCUGAAUCAGGACGCCUGGGGCAG